AGGUGUAGCGUAUACUUUUGCGGCUAACUUCACUUUGCAGCCCAAGAAAGCUUUGUUGGCUUCAUCUAAGAUCUGAUCUCCAUGACUCAGUAACUUGUUGGAAUACCAAGUCAAGAAGAACUUCCCCUUUUCCGCCAGAGAAAAAUGCGCUGGAGCUUACCUCAACUGCAGUUCGUCCGCCAAAGAGAGGCUGAUUAUCAACUCCAAUUGUGAGGGGUCCAGAGAAUUACCUCAGGUUCUGUGGUGAAAACUACGUUUGAUUUCACAGCUUGAAUAGUACUGCUUACAUUGCUGUGAAAACGAGAUGUGGAAAUAUGUCCCCCUUGUAUUUUCCUCCUCUGCCUCCGUUGU